UAUUGCAUUCAAAAUCGUGCCUAGUUCAAAUUCUAUAUAGCAGAAAAAUACCAAAGGUAGGACUUUCUCCUGUAUGUUCCAGCAUUCAUAAAGUUGUUUUUGAAUUUUUUAAAAACAAACAAGUAGUAUUGAGGAUGCUAAAUUUUAGCCCAUAUCUGACAAGAUCCUUGUUAGACAGAUGUUAAUUUAGCAGUGUAUGUGGAGCUCCCAAAGAAAAUAGGCAUCACUGAGUUCAUUGGGACUUACCCUCAAAUAUGCAUAAUAUUGUGUCUGGUUUGGCUGUCACUGUCCACAGUGCAGUGCUUUAAAUUUUGUUAGACAUAAUUUGAUCCAUGUAUUCCAGAUCCCAAGAUUCAGUAUGUGCAAGCAGAGGUGUCUCUUGAGCAGCUAGUCUGGAUAAAUAAAAUAAUUGAGUGCUGUUGGUUUUUAGUAGGGAUGAAUAGCCUCAAAUACAGAGUCUGAAAAGAAAACCAAGAAGUAAUAGGUAGUGUUGAAGUUUUUGCAACAAAAUCAAACUAUUAUUUAUCAAA